ACAGCUUUGGCCCAAAAAUUGAGGAGAGUGUUGGAGUCCUGAUUAAAAUUGUCAUGUUUUUGGGUUUUUCGACAAUGGAUUUCGUGCCGCUGAAUAGCUCUCUGUAUGCAGUUCAACUGCACAGCACAAGUGUCCGAAAGUGUCAAAUGCCGACUCCAUCAACUCUGGGAACAAAACUGCUUCAGGAUGUGAAAUUAUGAGCUGUAAUAAAAAUAGUGAAUCUAAACUGUUCAUUGGCUGUAUAAAUUAAUUUCCAUGUCUCAAGAUCUGCAGCAGUUCCGCAAGCGAGAGCAAGAUGCGUCUAUUGGGGACAUAGUGCUGGGUAGGGGGUUCAGAUUGCCAGAAGGAAUUCGUCCGUUGUACAGGAGCAUAGAGCAAAAUAGCUAACUAAGUUAAGCUUGUGUAAGCUUCUUUUCCUUGUUUCAUAGACUUUUUUUGGUUUGAAGGAGAAAAAUCUCCAUACUGCCAGGCAAAAUGGGCGGAAAGGGUAAAGGGAAGAUCUUUCUUAAUGAUCAUUAACACUCCCCUUUAUACCUUAUUUGAGACUAACUGUAUU
rnacentral:sRNA from 2 species